GCCUCUUUGGGCACUACUUACUUAAAAAUCACAGAAUUGUAUUUUGUGAUUUUUUAGUAAGUAGUGCCCAAAGAGGC